CUCAACCGGGUCUGUGGUUGCCCGGGGAUCUUCCCCGGUAGUCGACGCCAGCCGCGGGCGAAACGACCCACGUAAGGCGACCUUUGGUCGCCGAGCAUGGCGCGGUUUAGAUGUAAGUCCUGCCGUGGCACCGGGCACGGGGUCGCGAGAGGGCGGGAGUGCGGUCGCCACGGACGUCCAGGCGACCGGGCGAGCGCUCCGGCAGGCGAGUGUGGGGGCAAAGACCAGGUCAGCCGGGCGAG
rnacentral:ncRNA from 1 species